rfam:Helianthus annuus linkage group 15, whole genome shotgun sequence.
AUGAGGAUGAUGAAAUAAAUCAUUCGGAUUCCCAAUGAUUUUCUCUUUAUAAUAGUUUUUAUUUGAAGAGAUAGGUGAUCUUACAACUUCAUUUCUGACUCAU